rnacentral:ncRNA from 1 species
CUGGGGCUGGAGAAGGUCCCAAGGGUUUGGCUGUUCGCCAAUUAAAGCGGUACGCGAGCUGGGUUCAAACCGUCGUGAGACAGGUUGGUCUCUAUCUGCCGUAGGCGUUUGUUGCUUGAGAAGAGUCUUUCCUAGUACGAGAGGACCGGAAAGAACUAACCUCUGGUGUAUCGGCUGUUCCACCAGGAGCACUGUCGAGUAGCUAAGUUGGGAACGGAUAACCGCUGAAAGCAUCUAAGCGGGAAGCCAACUUCAAGAUAAGGCAACUCCGAUGCGUGACAUCGGAAUUUUCAAUUUUCAAUUUUCAAUUUUCAAUCAAUGAUUUAAUGACUUAAUUUUUAAAUUUAAUAAAUUAAGAAAUUAGAAAUUGUUUAGAAAUUAGUGGAAGAAGACCAGGUUGAUAGGCUUCAGGUGUAAGUGUUGUGAAACAUUUAGCCGAGAAGUACUAAUAAAUCUAACAACUUUUCUUA